AAAUAAAAAGGGUACUUUUUGCUUAGUAGUGAUUUAAAAAAAACACAAAACAGAAAAGUGUUUUCCUCCGGGUCAGUGCGUGGCAGUGGAGAUUAACUGGAAAGAGGCAUGCUGAAACCUGGGCCGAUGAAUUCCGGUCACACAGAUCUAUGCAUUUGCCAAAACUCAUUGCUUUGUACUCUUACAAUUUGUACACUCUUAAGCAUAAAUAUGGUUAGAAGCACCUGCUGAGCCAUAAAGUAAAAGGUGAACUUUCCUACAAGUCAGUAGAUUAAAACUGUACCUUUUCCACUGAGGUCUGAAUCCCAGUUGCUGGAGGUGGUGGUGGUAGGGCAGUUCUAAAUUGUCCUUUCUUAUGUAGUCUCAUACAGCUGUA
rnacentral:lncRNA from 1 species